CCUACGGGGGGCUGCAGUGGGGAAUAUUGGGCAAUGGGCGAAAGCCUGACCCAGCGACGCCGCGUGGGGGAUGAAGGCCUUCGGGUCGUAAACCCCUGUUGGGGAGGAAGAAAUGCAGGGAGGCGAAUACCCUUCCUGCUUGACGGUACUCCCAGAGGAAGCGACGGCUAACUCCGUGCCAGCAGCCGCGGUAAUACGGAGGUCGCAAGCGUUGCUCGGAAUCACUGGGCGUAAAGCGGGUGUAGGCGGCUUCUUAAGGCGGGUGGGAAAUCCUCUGGCCCAACCAGAGAAUUGCGCCCGAAACUGAGAGGCUAGAGUGGGGCAGAGGGAGACGGAAUUCCCGGUGUAGCGGUGAAAUGCGUUGAUAUCGGGAGGAACACCAGUGGCGAAGGCGGUCUCCUGGGCCCUUACUGACGCUCAGACCCGAAAGCGUCGGGGAGCAAACCGGAUUAGAUACCCGGGUAGU
rnacentral:rRNA from 1 species